GAGAACUAGAGGGGCGAAGGCAGAAGCAGGGAGACUGGUGAGGAGGCCCCGGCAGUAACCCAGAAUCAUGCACGGGCCAGAGGUGAGGGCCUCAGAGGAAGGGAGUCCUCCUGGCUUGUGGGAAGCGAUCCCGCUCCUGUGACUCAUGGCUCUGGGAAAAAAGCAGAAGUGGAUUCCUGAGACUUUGCAGAGCCCACCCCCAAUCUGUCAGCCAGUCCUGUGAGCUCUACCUUAAAGUAGAGCAAAAACUCAUCGAUAGUGGUAGAAAGCAGACUGGGACACAAGGAAACUUCUGGAGGUAAUGGUUUAAUGG